ensembl:lncRNA
UUGACUAUUGCACUUUUGCUUGUGUACUAUUUUUUGUUUCUUCGUUUAUCCUCAAGUUCGGAUGUUUUGUGCUUCUUCCGCAUAUCAACAGUUGAACAGGUGAUUACGUUUUCUGUAGUUUUGUUCCCGGAGGAGGAUGACUGUGUGGUAGCAGUUCCAUGCCAGGAUGGAGCAAGCACAGUACUCCAAGUCACCAGAGAGGUACUCCACGCCACCAUGUAGAGGAUGGCUACAUAGAACAUUUGGAGAAUAUCAAGUGGCUGACUGAAGAGAAGGUCGAGCUGAGGGCACAGCUGGCUCUACAAUCAGCUUCUGAUAAACGUCUGACUGAAAAGAAUGUCAAGCCGAGGGCACAGCUGGCUCUACAAUCAGGAGCCAUAAGGUCUUUCCAACCGGGAUGCCACUGAUGAGGCUGUCCAGAACCAGGUACCAGAAAGGGGCAGCUGACCGUGCAGGUGGGAGAUGUCGCGGCGGUACAAGGGACCUGCUGUGAAUAUGAAUAACAUCUCCAGUACAACCAAUAUUGCUGCUAAGCUGCAGUACUGUAUUUCUUUUUUUAACUGCUG